AUUGAACGCUGGCGGCAUGCCUAACACAUGCAAGUCGAACGGGGCAGCAAUGCCUAGUGGCGGACGGGUGAGGAAUACGUAGGAAUCUGCCCUUAAGUGGGGGAUAACCAGGGGAAACCCUGACUAAUACCGCAUGAUCUCUUCGGAGCAAAGAGGGGGACCGCCAGGCCUCUCGCUUCUGGAUGAGCCUACGUCUGAUUAGCUAGUUGGUAGUGUAAAGGCCUACCAAGGCGACGAUCAGUAACUGGUCUGAGAGGAUGAUCAGUCACACCGGAACUGAGACACGGUCCGGACUCCUACUGGAGGCAGCAGUGGGGAAUAUUGGACAAUGGGCGCAAGCCUGAUCCAGCAAUGCCGCGUGUGUGAAGAAGGCCUUCGGGUUGUAAAGCACUUGAGCCUGGAAAGAAAAAACUUUGGUUAACACCCAAAGUCUUGACGGUACCAGGAGAAUAAGCACCGGCUAACUCUGUGCCAGCCGCCGCGGUAACAC
rnacentral:rRNA from 1 species